GAUGGAGAGAAAGGAUGCAUGCUACUGCUAGUUCCAGUGUUUAAAGAACAAGCAUGAUGAAGACUUGAAAACACUUCAAACAUUAGAGACCUGAGGCACAGCUGUCAAAUUAUUCCUGCUAGUACCAAGAAUGAGGCUGGAGAAGGGAGCACUUAGCUAAGGUCCAUGAAGGAAGCUUAGGGAGGAAAAAUAGGCUACUGGAGCAAGCUUCACCAUCUCCUAGGCCCCAAGCCUGUCAUCUUCAUCCUGAGAGAAGUCCUGAUCAGACUGGAGAGAAGGACCCAGAUGACAUUGCUGCCUCUACUGACUCCAGCUGAAUCCCAACCACAAUCUGGGAUGAAACAGGAUUGGACUUCAAUAGCAGCAGCUCCAUGUCAUCUCAGCAACUUUUCCCCAGGACAGUUUUUACUGUCUUGGAUAUCAUCAACCAGACUGUCAAGCAAGGCUUUUUCCUUCUAAAAUUUCUCUUCAGCUAAAGGAAAAGGGAACAAGGGAUAUUAAAAUGCAAGCUCUAUUUAUUUGACAUUUCAAAUGUUUUAACUGUUUUCCCUUUUCUUUAUCUUUAUUAAACAGUUUGGGUUUUUUAUGGUUUGCUGUGGUACUAAGCAGGCUGAUGUCUCUGUAUGCAAAACCCAGACCUCCUUUAACACUGUUUAAUGUUGGACAGUGAGUGAAUUGUGCCAAUAUCUUUUAGCCCAUAUAUUUCAUCUAAACUAAUACAACAGCUGUCCAGGUUUAGGUUAAGGAUCCAGGUCAUUGUUUCAGGUGACAAUGAGUGGAUGACAGAUAUAUCCUAGUGUGAUAUUGUAGGACACUGGUUGAAAAUGUGUGACCCAUUCAUAUACAGAGCAUCUCACUUCUGCACACAACCAAGAAGCACUUUAGUGCAGUAAAAUACCAUGUACCUUUGUCUAGGAUAAUAGCAGUAUCCUCUUAAGCUAAAUAAAUUCCUAAACAAUUGCAGGGUGCAUACAUAACACAGGGUGAACCUUUCUUGCCUCCUAAGAGGAGAAGGAAACAAUGUGUAUCUGCAUCUAUCCUGUCUUGCAACACUAGUUGACCACAGUCCACCUGUGGCUAGCAA